rnacentral:rRNA from 1 species
UUUUUAUGAGAGUUUGAUCCUGGCUCAGGACGAACGCUGGCGGCGUGCCUAAUACAUGCAAGUCGAACGCUUCUUUUUCCACCGGAGCUUGCUCCACCGGAAAAAGAAGAGUGGCGAACGGGUGAGUAACACGUGGGUAACCUGCCCAUCAGAAGGGGAUAACACUUGGAAACAGGUGCUAAUACCGUAUAACAAUCGAAACCGCAUGGUUUUGAUUUGAAAGGCGCUUUCGGGUGUCGCUGAUGGAUGGACCCGCGGUGCAUUAGCUAGUUGGUGAGGUAACGGCUCACCAAGGCCACGAUGCAUAGCCGACCUGAGAGGGUGAUCGGCCACAUUGGGACUGAGACACGGCCCAAACUCCUACGGGAGGCAGCAGUAGGGAAUCUUCGGCAAUGGACGAAAGUCUGACCGAGCAACGCCGCGUGAGUGAAGAAGGUUUUCGGAUCGUAAAACUCUGUUGUUAGAGAAGAACAAGGAUGAGAGUAACUGUUCAUCCCUUGACGGUAUCUAACCAGAAAGCCACGGCUAACUACGUGCCAGCAGCCGCGGUAAUACGUAGGUGGCAAGCGUUGUCCGGAUUUAUUGGGCGUAAAGCGAGCGCAGGCGGUUUCUUAAGUCUGAUGUGAAAGCCCCCGGCUCAACCGGGGAGGGUCAUUGGAAACUGGGAGACUUGAGUGCAGAAGAGGAGAGUGGAAUUCCAUGUGUAGCGGUGAAAUGCGUAGAUAUAUGGAGGAACACCAGUGGCGAAGGCGGCUCUCUGGUCUGUAACUGACGCUGAGGCUCGAAAGCGUGGGG